rnacentral:rRNA from 1 species
AUACGGAGGAUCCGAGCGUUAUCCGGAUUUAUUGGGUUUAAAGGGAGCGUAGGUGGAUUGUUAAGUCAGUUGUGAAAGUUUGCGGCUCAACCGUAAAAUUGCAGUUGAACCUGGGAGUCUUGAGUACAGUAGAGGUGGGCGGAAUUCGUGGUGUAGCGGUGAAAUGCUUAGAUAUCACGAAGAACUCCGAUUGCGAAGGCAGCUCACUAGACUGUUACUGACACUGAUGCUCGAAAGUGUGGGUAUCAAACAGGAUUAGAUACCCUGGUAGUCCACACAGUAAACGAUGAAUACUCGCUGUUUGCGAUAUACAGUAAGCGGCCAAGCGAAAGCAUUAAGUAUUCCACCUGGGGAGUACGCCGGCAACGGUGAAACUCAAAUGAAUUGGCGGG